UCUGGUUCCUCAGUUUUUGUUGUUGUCUCGGUCUAACCAUAGUAAUGUUCUGGUUCCUCAGGUUUUGUUGUUGUCUCGCCGUAACAAUAGUAAUGUUCUGGUUCCUCAAUUGUUGUUGUUCUCCGCCAGUAA